rnacentral:pre_miRNA from 1 species
GGGUGGGGAUUUGUUGCAUUACUGGGUCUUGUGUUAACAGUAUUGCACUUGUCCCGGCCUGU